rnacentral:rRNA from 1 species
UACGUAGGGGGCGAGCGUUGUCCGGAUUUAUUGGGCGUAAAGAGCUCGUAGGCGGUUUGGUAAGUCGGGUGUGAAAACCCCAGGCUCAACCUGGGGACGCCACCUGAUACUGCUAUGACUUGAGUCUGGUAGGGGAUCACGGAAUUCCUGGUGUAGCGGUGAAAUGCGCAGAUAUCAGGAGGAACACCGGUGGCGAAGGCGGUGAUCUGGGCCAGUACUGACGCUGAGGAGCGAAAGCGUGGGUAGCAAACAGG